rnacentral:rRNA from 1 species
AUGGCCAGUCCUCUGCGAGCCGCGUUGUUCCUUCUGACCCUGUUGCUCUGCUGUACGCCAUCUUUCGGCCGGCCUAUCCCAGCCACCCUGCCUUCUCUCCCCAGAUCUCACCCCGGAACCCGUGGCCCUUCGCUAUUUGGUUUCGCUUGGGGUUCCUGGCAAAGUAUUGCCAUCUGCUCGGCAUUUGCCCUUGCCGCCGCCGGCCUCGUCGCUCUCCUGAUCGUGUUGUGUUGCCGCUGCGCUGCAGCAGCAGCACCAGCAGCUGCGCCGGCGAGGUCGGCUUGGGGGAAGACAGAAGAAGCUGCUACGGUGACGUCCGCUCCGGGGAUAGCAGCGGCUCCCUCUGCCUUGACGGGGAUACCCGAGGCGGACACCGCGAGCUUAGCCCCGUCUUCUUCCACGCAGCCAGCCACCCUCGCGCUCGCCUACCCGGGCUUCGCCCCGUCUUCUUCCAUCGAGCCAGCCACCGACGCCCGGAUGGAGAUUUCCGAGGAGGCCAAUUCGACGGCUCCACACCCGUCCACGGCCCUCGCGCUCGCCUACCCGGGCUUCUCCUCGUCUUCUUCCACCGAGCCAGCCACCGACGCACGGAUGGAGAUUUCCGAGGAGGCCAAUUUGACGGCUCCACGUCCGUCCACGGCCCUCGCGCUCGCCUACCGGGCUUCGCCCCGUCUUCUUCCACGGAGACGGCCACCGACACCCUUGCUGGGGGGAUGGACGUUUCCGUGGUGCCACGCCCAUCCACGGCCCUCGCGCUCGCCACCCCGAGCUUCGCCCCAUCUUCUUCCACCUAGACAGCCACAGACGCGAUGGAGGUCUCCCCGGCGAGCUUGGCGCCAUCGUCACCAGCCUCUUCUUGGGGGACAUCCUUUCAGAUGGAGCACUACGGUGCGGCACCGGCGGGCUCCACGACGGCACCGGUCUGGAGGACCUAUUUACGGCUGCAGCACUACACGGGAGCUUCUUCGGCUUCAGGACCCGGCGGCUCGACAUCAUUUCAGAUGCAGCAGUAUGGUGCUGCACUCGCCUCCAGGCCAGCUCCGGCGGGUUCCGCGACAUCCGCGACGACCCCGGCCUGGAUGA